UGUUGUUUUUGGGUUUUCUUAGAAGAAGAAUAUAGAUUGUAGUACCUUUUGUAUCAGGGUUAUUUAAUUAAAAAAGAAAUUAAAAUUUCUCGAUAUUAAGUGAAAUAAAUAAGAUUAUUAGAUGUUGAAUAAUCAUAUAAAUUUAUUUAGUAGUGAAAUUUUUUCGUGGUUAAAGGUAUCUAGUUAUUAUAAUAAUAUAAUAUAAGGGAUAAGCUUUUUAUUUUGGUAUAUUUGGCAAUGUGUGUGAUAAAUUAGGCUUAAGAUUAGCUUUAUUAAUAAUUUGUUUUAAAAUUUUUAUGGUCGUAUUAGGAUAUUAGGUUUUAUGGGUAAGUUAAUUAAGCUUGAUUAUUUUUUUUGUAAUGAAUAAAUUAGUAUUUUUUUUUUCUGUAAAAUAUGACUCGAACUUUGUAAAAUGGUUUAUCAAAAACAUUUUUAUAUUUUUAUAUGAUAAGGCCUGCCCAGUGUGAUUAUAAACGGCUGCGGUAUUUUGACUGUGCUAAGGUAGCAUAAUAAUUUGUUUUUUAAUUGAAAACUGGAAUGAAAGGUUUUAUUUACAAAUAUGUUUAUUUGUAGAAUAGAUAAUUUAUAUUUGUGGUAAAAAUACCACAAUUAAAUAAAGUGACGAUAAGACCCUAUAAGCUUUAUUUAAAGGAUAAGUAGGCUUAGUAUUUAACGUUUUUUUAUUUUUAUGGGUUUUGCUGGGGCAGUAAUAUUAUUUGAUUUAAUAAGAUUUUAACAUAGGUGGAUGAAUGUAUGAUCUUUUUAUAAAGAUAGGUAGUAAAAGUUACUGUAGGGGUAACAGCGCAAUAAUUUUGGAGAGGCCUUAUUAAUAAAAUUGAUUGCGACCUCGAUGUUGAAUUAAGAUUUCUUUUUGUUGCAGAAGGCAAGAGAGAAGGUUUGUUCAACCUUUAAAUUUUUACAUGAUUUGAGUUCAAAUCGGUUUAAACCAGAUUGGUUUCUAUCUUUUAUGUAUGGUAAUUUGUGUAAGUACGAAAGGGACGCAUAAA
rnacentral:rRNA from 1 species